rnacentral:rRNA from 1 species
CAGCAGCCGCGGUAAUACGUAGGUGGCAAGCGUUGUCCGGAUUUACUGGGCGUAAAGAGUAUGUAGGUGGGUGCUUAAGUCAGAUGUGAAAUUCCCGGGCUCAACCUGGGAGCUGCAUUUGAAACUGGGCAUCUAGAGUGCAGGAGAGGAAAGUGGAAUUCCUAGUGUAGCGGUGAAAUGCGUAGAGAUUAGGAAGAACACCAGUGGCGAAGGCGACUUUCUGGACUGUAACUGACACUGAGAUACGAAAGCGUGGGUAGCAAACAGGAUUAGAUCCCCUGGUAGUCCACGCCGUAAACGAUGAAUACUAGGUGUCGGGGGGUACCACCCUCGGUGCCGCAGCAAACGCAUUAAGUAUUCCGCCUGGGGAGUACGGUCGCAAGAUUAAAACUCAAAGGAAUUGACGGGGACCCGCACAAGCAGCGGAGCAUGUGGUUUAAUUCGAAGCAACGCGAAGAACCUUACCUAGACUUGACAUCUCCUGAAUUACUCUUAAUCGAGGAAGUCCCUUCGGGGACAGGAAGACAGGUGGUGCAUGGUUGUCGUCAGCUCGUGUCGUGAGAUGUUGGGUUAAGUCCCGCAACGAGCGCAACCCUUAUUGUUAGUUGCUACUAUUAAGUUAAGCACUCUAACGAGACUGCCGCGGUUAACGUGGAGGAAGGUGGGGAUGACGUCAAAUCAUCAUGCCCCUUAUGUCUAGGGCUACACACGUGCUACAAUGGCUGGUACAACGAGCAGCAAACCCG